CUGGGGCUGCUGCCCCGAGGCGCGUGGGACGGGCGGGGCAGUCUGUGGUUCCUGCAGUGCUUGUGGCUGGGUCUGUUCGCUGGACGCCGGCCAGGGAUGCUUCCGCCGGACCGCUGUACGGGUCUUGGGUUGUGGCGGAGGGAUGGCGAAUGUGCAGGUGGCCGUGAGGGUCAGGCCUCUCAGCAAGCGGGAGACCAAAGAAGGGGGAAGAAUUAUCGUGGAAGUUGAUGACAAAGUGGCAAAAGUCAGGAAUGUAAAGGUGAACAGUCGACUGGAGAGCUUUGGAGACACCCGGGAGAAGGUUGUGGCAUUUGGCUUUGAUUACUGCUAUUGGUCAGUCAACCCAGAGGACCCUCACUAUGCAUCUCAGGAAGUGGUAUUCCGGGACUUGGGGACUGAGGUACUGUCUGGAGCUUCCAAAGGCUACAACAUAUGUCUCUUUGCCUAUGGGCAGACAGGCUCUGGGAAGACAUACACCAUGCUGGGGACUCCAGCCUCUGUUGGGCUGACUCCGAGGAUCUGUGAGGGUCUCUUCAUCAGGGAGGAUGACUGUGCCUCGAUGCCUUACUCCCGUAGUAUAAAAGUAAGCUUCCUAGAGAUCUACAAUGAACGGGUGAGAGAUCUUUUGAAGCAAUCCAAUCAAAAUAAGUCCUACACCUUAAGGGUCAGGGAGCACCCAGAGAUGGGACCCUACGUCCAAGGUCUGUCUCAGCAUGCUGUCACCAGCUAUCAGCAGGUUCUCCAGCUUCUGGAGGAGGGGAUAGCAAACAGGAUCACAGCAGCCACCCACGUUCACGAGGCCAGCAGUAGAUCCCACGCUAUCUUCACUAUCCACUGCACACAGGCAACCCUACAGAACAACCUCCCCUCUGAGACUGCCAGCAAGAUCAAUCUUGUGGACCUAGCAGGCAGUGAGAGAGCUGAUCCCAGUUACUGUAAGGACCGGAUUACUGAAGGCGCCAAUAUCAACAAGUCCCUUGUGACUCUGGGAAUUGUAAUCUCCACUUUAGCCCAGAACUCGCAAGUGUUCAGCAGCUGCCAGAGCCUCAGUAGUGCAGCCAGCAGUGGGGGUGACAGUGGGAUCCCUAGCACCACUUCUGGGACCAGCAGCGGAGGGGGACCUGCAAGGAGACAGUCUUACAUCCCAUAUCGGGACUCUGUGCUGACCUGGUUGCUGAAGGAGAGCCUUGGAGGCAACUCCAAAACCAUCAUGGUUGCCACUGUGUCUCCUGCACAUACCAGCUACAGUGAGACCAUGAGUACAAUGAGAUAUGCAUCCAAUGCCAAAAACAUCAUCAACAAGCCACAGGUGAACGAGGAUGCGAAUGUGAAGCUCAUCCGAGAGCUCAGGGAAGAGAUUGAGAGGUUGAAAGCCAUGCUGCUGAACUUUGAACUGAGGAACUUCAGCUCACUAAAUGAUGAUCUGGAUGAGAGCCUGCAAGAGCUAGUCUUCCAGAAUGAUUUGAAGAUAGACACGCUGACUCAACACUGGACUCAGAAGCCAAAUAACCGGCAGGCACUCAUGGAGCAUUACGGUGUGGGCAUCAACAGGAAUAGAGCCAGGGUGGUCAUCGACUCCAGCCUGCCACACCUGAUGGCUUUGGAGGAUGAUGUGCUCAGCACAGGCAUUGUGCUUUAUCACCUCAAGGAGGGCACAACAAGAAUAGGAAGGAUUGAUUCAGACCAGGAGCAGGAUAUCGUCCUUCAGGGCCAGUGGAUUGAGAGAGACCACUGCACAAUCACUAGCACUUGUGGGGUGGUCAUUCUCCGGCCUUCCCAAGGUGCACGCUGUACAGUCAAUGGUCGUGAGGUCACUGCUUCCUGCCGUCUGACACAAGGAGCUGUCAUAACACUGGGGAAAGCACAGAAGUUCCGAUUUAACCACCCAGCGGAGGCUGCUGCGCUGCGGCAAGAAAGGCUCAAGGUUGGAGAGGUUCUUGGCAGCAGUGGCUCUUUGGAAUGGCUGGAUUUGGAUGGAGAUGUCAGUGCCUCAAGACUGGGUCUCUGUCCUGUGCUCAGGAAGGAGAGGAGAGUGCUGGAAGAGCAGAGUGACAAGGACCAGCAGCCAUUAAGAAAUGGCAAGAUUUCCUACAGAGCCCAGACUGAGCAGCAGCAGUGCCAUGUGGAGGCUCUGAAGCAGCAAGCCAAAGAAGGACAGAGUAGAGUCCAGAAGGAGCUAAAACUGGACCAGACACAUAUCAACCGAAAGAUAACAGACAACCAGCAGUGGCUACUCAGAGAAGAGACCUGGCUAUCCAACUUACGAGAGACACAGCAAGAAGGUGACUGUGGAGAAGAGAAAGAGCUUGAGGCCUUUGUGGCACCUGAUGCUUGGCUCCCAACAGUUCCUCAGACUCCACCAUCUCCACUGGUCCAAAGCCAGAAGAGGGUGGUACAGCCCCGGUGCUUGCGGAAACAUACUUCUCGGGCUACAGUGUGGAACAUUAGGCAGAAAAAGGUAUCGUUCCAGCUGGAGAGAAUUAUUAAGAAGCGGAGGCUGCUGGAAGCCCAGAGGAGACUGGAGCAGCUCAAUGCACUCUUCUGGAUCCAGGAUAAUGGCACCUCCAAGGCCCCAAGUUGGGCCUCUAGCUCUAACACCACAGGCUCAGGUUCUCAGCGUAGAAGCAGAUGGACAACUUGCAGCUCUCUGAGUCUCCAGAGGCUCUGCAGUCAACGCCUGUCCCAGCUACGCAGUGCUGUCAUGAACUGGGAUCCUUCAGCCAUGUCACCACCUGUGCCUGAUCUGACUCAGCAAAUGCCAGAGAAAACCCUGUCAACAGAUACUGUUCCCCAGGCUACAGCCUGUCCUCCAAGGACAGGAUGCCUGGGCAGGAACAGCCUCCAUUCAUCACGGUGGAGGAAGUUCUCGCCAGCCAGGGGAGCUUCUGUCAGUAGCCAAAAAAUUGAGUCAUUUGGUAAGCAGUCCUGUCAGAUGUCAUCCCAGGGUCAAUCAACUAAGAAACAAAAACCAACAGAUGGUUCAAGGAUCUUCACCCCUGCUGCCCAGACCAAGGCUAAGGGACUAGUAGCCUCUGUCAACACACAAACUGUAUGGCAAAAAGAAGAGAGCUGUGCAACCUACAAGGCUCCUAAGGAAACUACCUCCCAUCCUACGUAUCUCAGUGGAUCGGAGCAAGUAGCUGGGCAUAGAAAAGUAGUCAAGACUUCUCUGGCAGAAUCCAAACCACCUCCUCCAAGCAGGGCAUCAAAAAAGCAUCAGAGGGUGCUGGCAGCUAGGGCCAGAGACAUUGCCAAAAAGUUCUCUCGUUUGUCUUGUGGCUGUCCUUUAAAAAAACAGCCUAGUGCAGAGGAUCCAACCUCCUUCACAGAUUCUAGACCUAUAAUGGACCAUGUAAGGGAAGAGGACAAAGAUUUAUCUGACACUGAAAGCAGUUACUCAGUGGAUUCUCUUUCUUACAUCUAUGCCAAAGUCCCAAAGGAGCUGCUGAAACCAGAGGAACUUCAGGGAAAAUGGGAUCUCCCAGAUCCAGACAACUCUGAAAGUGGUAACAGUCAAAUAUCUGAGGAUUCACUUGCUGGGAAAGGGCACCAAAGUCUCCCAGAAAACUCUGCAGGUGAAUAUUCCAUGAAGGACUAUGGGCAUUCAAGAGCCAGACCUUCAGCCUCUGUGAGGGGUCUCCCCAUGUACUCAGACAGUAGCUUAUGUACUCAUACAGACAGGAGCUUUUCCUUGCACAGCCUAAUUGGUCCUGAAAAUAGGCAAGGGGAGCCUUUCCUUGGCUCUGCUGAUGAGAUGCCUACAGAGACUUUCUGGCAUCUGCAGAAGGCCACCCUAUCUGCAAUAGACAAUAGACAGGGGGCAACAGACAGGCCUAGCCCUAUCAACCACAGAGUGGGAGUCAGGGUCAAUAAUAUUCUGCCAAAAAGCAAUUCAUUUUACCAUGAUCUUCAGUACCAGCCCCGUUGUGAGCAGCUUGAGUCAGAAAUGGAGACCAGCUAUUCCGAACAAAUCAACCCUCUCCGAGGUAUUCAACUUGCAAGAGAGAGCCCCCUGUUAUCUGUGGAUUCCUGGUUUUCUUGCGACUCUAAGGUCAAUCCCAGCAGCCCCUCAGGGGUCAUACAUUCUCUAUGUCCAAGUCCUGACAUACAUGAAACUCAGCCCUAUAGUGAGAAGCCCCAACACUGGCUAAGCAGUGAAGAACCAAAUACCUGCAAACUUCCCCAAACUAGUACUGAGCCACCCUGCAGUUCAGAUUUGUAUGCAACUUCUGCUUCUGAUACAUCCAAGCCCUCAGUUUGUGGAAGCCAAAGACUCCUUCAGCCAGGAGUUGAUGGAUUCUUUCAGGGCAGAGAAAUGCCUGACAUGACCAACCAGGGCAUCUCUGAAGAGUCCCACAAUUCUGACAUGUCGAGUGUGCUGGCUACCUCUGCCACCUCGUUCACUCAUGUACGUAGUAUUAAUAAGAAGGACUGGGCUGCCCUUCAUCAAGAAUAUCUCCUUGAACUCUCUGAUUCUAUUUUUGAAGCUAUAGGAGAGCCCAGGCCAGCUUUCCCCUUCCUGGAGGAAGAGUCUAGCUCCCUGGCUGAUGCUUCUGAUAAAGUAGACUCUCCGUUGCCCACUGGCCCUGGGUUAUCUAGAAAUUUAGAUUUCUGCUCCUUUCCAGCCCACCUAUCCCAAAUCAGGCACUUAAAUGCAGAGAAAGACCAUGACAGUCUGAGUGCCAACGUAGAAAGUGCUUCUGAUCUCUUCAGUACUGUUGAGAGGAUGAGCUGUAAUGAGGCGUACCCCACAGACAUAGAGUCUCUGACUUCUGGAUCUAUAAAUGCACAGGCCUGCACAGCAGGAAAUGCGAUACCAAGUUCCAUGACAGAAGCAUGGGAAGUCAAUCAGGCCAGCUUGGAAGGGUGCCUUCAGGGUGGCAGACAUUCUGCACUGAAAACUUCCUCUGGGCAGUAUUUCUUCCAGAAGAGGACUUAUCACAAUCAUGACACCUCAGCCUCUGAAGUAGAUUAUUUACCUCAAGAUGAGACUCUUCUCAGGAAAAAUACUCCAGUUCAACCAGGACUAUUAAGUCACAACAGCCACCAGCACCCCCUGCUGGAAGAGAAGGCGGCUUCCCAGGAGUGCUCCGAGGAAGUAGCUGGAACACACAUAGAUGCCUGUUGCACUUUCCCUUCAGGUCCAGAGCUGGUCCUGCACUCUGACCCUUGGAGCUCUUUUCCAUCCUUCCUGCAGUCGCCUUCCCUGGAAACAUUCUAUGUAACCAAAAGCAGGGAUGCCCUGACAGAAACUGCCUUAGAGAUUCCAGCCUGCAGGGAAGCCUGGGUGCCCUCCCCACCCCCUAGAGAAGCCUGGGGCUUUGGUCAUAGUCAUCAAGUCCCCCAGAAAGCUCACAAGAAAAAUAAUUUGCCCAAGUUGUCCCAAAGUCAGAAUUCUAAGAUUGAUUCACCUCAUCAGACAAUAACCAAAAGGCCAACAGAUACGAAUAUAGGGGAAGUUACUGGAGAACUGGGGAAACGGCCCAGAAAUAUGAAAAAAGAAGAACCCCAUGAUUCUGCUUACUGUUUCGUUGCUCAGAACAGACAGCAUCUCCCUUCUACCAGACUCAAAGCUUGUGAAUGUAGAAAUCAACUUGGAAUUUUAAAUAAGUACAGCCUCUCAGUCCAUGAGGAUGGAGAAGGGGCCUCUGCAUGGCAUCACUGCAGUGUUGCCUUCAAUGGCUCUGAGUCAAAGACUUUGCUCUUCAUUUGUGAUUCUAAGGCAAGUGGGGAAGAACAGAGUCCACUCCUGCCAGAGACGCAGUCCUCUGGUACGCACAGUCAGUCUCCUCCUGGAGACAGGUCUGAUUUCAUUGGUAAAAUCACCAAUUUAGACCUGGAGAAGGUCAUGCCAGAGGAAACUGCUGUUUCCUUGAAAUCAAGAUCACUCCAUUGUCGAAGUAGCCCUGCGAUCAUGGCAGGAGGUAGGAGUCCCACCCACAGGUGGGAGGGGAGGAAUGAAACUGUGCUUCUCAGAGAAGUGAUUUCCAAAGACAUCCGAGAAGAAUUUAGUCUUCCAGGAACCCAGUAUACCUGUGAAAGAUGCCAUCUAGUUAUGUGCUCUCAGGAAAGAAAGCCCACUGAAUGCAAGGCCCAUGGGCAGUCACAAGAAAUACAGUGCAAAGAAAAACCUUUGGGAGAGAAACAGAAUAAAAGAGUUAAUAGUACUGAUGAAAUGGCUAGGCUGAUCAGGAGUGUAAUACAGCUGGAAACUGGCAUCUUAGAAAUCGAAUCCAAGCAGAAUAAGCAACUUCAUGCUUCCCACACGCCAAGUACAGAACUUAUGCUCCAGGACUUACAGGACCAGAAGAAGACUGACCAGGUCCCCGAGCCAGAAAGUUCUGGAAAACAUUUAUGCUUUGAGGGUUAUCCAUCUUUUCCAAUACAGAUAGAAGAUGGUAUCUUUGAAGACAACAAAGCUAGAGAAAUAGAGGGUAACAGUGCAAUUAGUAAUAAUGCUCAGGUCCAGAAGAUCACAGGAAGCCCCUUCAGAUCAAGGGACUGUAAGCAAACAAGGGGGUCUGAGAGAGAGCACACAUACCCACCACCUGGAGCACACAGACUUGCCAGGGAUAUCUGUGGUUCUUUAGGGAAGGGCGAAGCUCUCAGAAAGCCUAGCAACAUGUCCCUUCACUCUAGGAGAAUGAAAGCAUUAGCUAGAUCUCUGCUAUUGCAGCGCAGCCCGGAGAGAGCUGAGAAGGAUGAUGAGCUCCUAAAAGCAUCAGCAAAGUUCCAAGAGCAGACUUGGGCCUUGGAAAGUCUUGAGGAACUGGAGAGUGUGGAAAGUUUUCAGGAAAGCCAAAUUAUUGCAGUCCCAAGUGAUUCAGAAUUGGAGGAUGUAAAAACUCCAGGGAGAGUUGAAGAAAUGACAGUGGACAGGGGAGGGAACCUGAAGGAAAAAGAGAAUGUGGAAAUUUCUACUCCCAGCCAGCACUGGAAGGGCACAGUUUUCAGGCAGGAGAAUGUCUCCCCAUUCCAUAACCAGAGAGACUUCUCUGCAGCUCUUCCUUAUGGAGAGCUGAGUGGUAUCCAACCCGUGCAUUCUCCAAGCUUCCCAAGAAGCUGUUGUCAUGUCUCUGAUACCAAAGGUGUCUCUUCAUUUGAGAACAUAUUAGAACCUACAAUGUUGAAAACAAAUAGAAAUUCUUUGGCAACUGGAGUAGGGGAUCAGGAUCACAGUGGGGAGACCGGAAGCAGUAGCUUGCAGGGAAGUGUUUCUGGGGAUGCUUCCACCACACACACUCCCUGGGGUGGAUCUGUAAUGCCCAUGCUCAUGAGAGCUAAUGGCCAGUCUGUUACAUCAGACAGUAUACAGCUAGAGACAGAGGACUGGAUAACAGUAAGCACCAGCUCCCAAGAAGACCAGGAAGGGGACUUCAGAGUUACUUCCACAGGCUUGACUACUCAGGAAGGUUUGGGUUCUGAAGCUGAGGCAACUGAACAAGAAGAAACAAAAACCAGUUCUUUGGAUACUGUCUUAAGGCAGACUGAAAGGAGGGUCAGUUUCCUUUUACAAGAAGAUAGUGACCAGGGUGAAGAGGAAAGGCAGAAGGCAGAGGAGAAGUCAGAAGACCAACAACUUCCUAACUCUGCUUGCUUACCACCAGUGUCUGUACUGAAAGGACCUGAUCCAGAGCCUCUGCUACUACCAGACUCCUCUGUCCAUGCAUCCAUAUGCCUGUCUAUCUUGGAAGAGAUCAGACAGGCAAAAGCACAGAGAAAGCAGCUUAAUGACUUUGUGGCUGAGGGGACAGUCCUUCCUUAUGAGACGUCACAAGAAGCUGAGUGUUUUUCAGAGGCUGCUGGUAGGUCUCAGACACAGACAGUUACGUUAGGGUGGGAUAGCACCAGGAACGAUGCUAAGACACAAGGACUGCAUGUGGCAUCUCCACCUCCUGUGUUUGCAAACCUCUUGGCUGAUGAGAGGAGAGCCCAGGCCAGUGCAGGGAGCCUUCAACAUGUGCUCAAUCCUGAAACUGAUAGAGGGCCACAGCAUCAUUUGUUGGCUUCUUCUCACAUUAUUUCAGGGCUAGCAGAAAGAUACUGCACUGGAGAAGCAAGGCAAUUUUGUGGAGCAAGAGGAUGGUCUGAUUUUUCUGAAGUCAUCGAGAAAAAAGAAACAUCUAGAACAAUGUCCUCUGUUGGUCCUUUGGACUCAGACAGGCUUCUUUCUAUACUAGCUGUAGAGCAGAAUGAGAGGGUAGGAUCAGAGAAAGUGUCUGUCUUACCUUCUCAAACUUCUUGUGAUGGUCCUGGGAGGAUUCUGCAUGGGCAAAGUCAGUUGGCUGCAUGGGAGACUGCAGAGGAUAUAUCCUUUGGUGGGAAGGACACUGUCCUGGGUCAUCAGAAACCUAGUCUAGAUAGCACAUGUGGAGGAGACUCAGGUAAGAUCUCAGUGACCACACAGAAAGGAAAAGCAGUCCAUUCUGAGCGUCAGUCUGUGAUCCGUACUGUUGAUAAUACUGUAUACCUUUCUCAGCCUAAGCAAGACCAUGUGCAGUGCUCCGAUGCUUCUGCUGGCUUAGAAGGAAUGGAGGCAAGUCCAAAGUCAUGUGCUCUUCAGCCUGGAGCUCCAAGAAAGGUUGAAGCAGAAGCUAACAUAUGGCAUCCUGUCAAGUGGAAGAAUGUUGACUCUGGUCUGGCAGAAGCAUGUGGGAGUGACAGCAAAAAUCUAAGGUCAACUCCAUUUAUAGAUAAAAGACCAAGCCUGCAUCCCAGUGGAGUUAGAGAAGAGGCUCCAGGUCUGUGCCCAGAAGAGUGCCUUGUCUUCAAGGGGAACACUGGAGGCAGCAGGCCACUUGGCUUAUCUUAUGGGGAGGAAGAGAAUUGCCCUCACCUAAGUGGUUCUCAGCCUGCUGCUGCUGUUCACGACUGCCGCUCUCAUUCCUCUACUCUGCCAUGUUAUAGAGAUGGUGUCCUUAGGAAGGGAACCCUCUGGGCUGCUCCACAUCCUGACCACUCACUUUUUAUAGUACCAUCUAGGGUCUGUGAAGUGGAUGGAGCAGGAGAGAGCUUUUCCAAAGACUCUCAAGUGUCUUUAGCACAUGGCCUCAAACAUAAAUGUGGGCCAGUAGACAACAGCAUUCCCAACCCAUCCACUAUAGCUCUUGUCUCCUCUCCAGCUCAAAACUGCAGCUGCCUUUGCACCUCAGAAAUGAAGGCAAAUUGCCUCACCCACACUGUUGCUAGGGGAAGAUCAGUGGACGGUUCUGGGGAAAAGACAACAGGGAAGAAGGCCAGCACUGCCCCUGAGGAUUCUUAUCCAUCCAGCCCUGCAGGAAUGAGCUCUGAGCCACGAAGAACUCUGAAGAAUAACUCUGUAAGUGAGAAUGUACAGGCAUCACAAACAACACCAGAACAUCCUGCAGUGACUCAGAGACCAUAUUCAAAUGAAGAAUCUGUUGACAGUAAGCUGGAGAUAGCAGCUCAGUUUGGGCAUUUAGAAAAUACCAUCAGAUGCUGUUCAAAAAAGAUGCCACCUUCCACUAAGGUCAGGGGUCACAGUUGCUUGGAUUCUCAAGCCAAAUUUGUAGACAUGUUGAAACAUACCUGCCACCCUCAGAUUGAAACUUCAUGGGAAGAGGAAGAACAACAGAGAGACCAGGUCUCAGGAGAUGGCAAAGUCCAUGCCCAGGUCAGAAAUCUAGUAUCUUCUAACAUUGGUAGCUUUGAUGGCUGUCAGACUAGAGAUGGUGAAAGAAAGGAGAUAGUUGUAGCCAAGUCUUCUGCAUCCCAGACUUUCUUUUCAGACUUUGAAGCCCAAACUGAACCAUCACAGCCUGCUGCCCAGACUCCUAGCCAGCUCUGCUCUGAUAGGGAGCAGCUGCCUCCCAGCCACAGGCACUUGCUUCCUGUGAUUGCAAUCUUCUCUGGCCCCAAGCGUGCCAGGUACUCCCCUAGACCUCAGUUUACUGUGGUCAGCUCAUCUCGGUCUCUUCAAGAACUAAAUUUGAGUGUGAAACCUCCUUCGCCAACAGAUGAAGAUGCACAGGGGCCAAAUUGCUUGUGGAGCCCACAUCUCAGGGGUCAUUCCUCCCAAAAGCCAGUAUCAACAUCUCAGAAGUCUCAAGAUUACAGUCAGAAAGCCUCGUGUAACUUGAGCAAUAGCCACACUGAUCACAGGCCCUUGAACCCUGUCAUUCCUCCUUACCCAACGUCUUCCACUGUGUCAUGUAUGCCAACCCCUGAGUUCAUGACUACCUGGAUGCCUGGGACUUUGGAACAGGCCCAUCCAGGAAAGACAGAUAAACUGAGUGUCCAGGGUAUGCCAGAGAAUUGGCAUUCUCAGGUGGACAAAGAAAUGCUGCACUUUGAUUCUAGUAACUUAAGUCCCUAUGUCCUGCCCUGGUGUCCACAGGGACCUGUGCAUAUUGGUUGGAAGCAAUAUGUGUUUGGAAGUGCAGUUGAUGCCUCUGGUAGCCAGAAAUCUCAGUGCCUAAUACAAUCAAAAAUGGCUCAGUGUUCUAGCAUGGACAAUGUCCUAGAAGACAAGAAAUCUCCAUUUCACUUCCAUCCCAAGACUGAUGCCCAAACCCAGGAUUUGCCAAACAUACACAGUGGCAUUGGGAAUGACCAGAGUUCAAAUGAGCUGCCUCUGGCUGGAGGGAGUACCACAGCUCAGGUAGAUGAGAUUAUAUUACUCUGCCCACCAGAGACAGGCUGUGCUGGGGGGGAGGCCAGUAUGAAUACCUUCGAGCAGGGAACACGGACCCUGGGCAGCAGGCUUCACUCAAAUUGCACUGAUGUCUCUGUUCAGCCUGAUGCCAGGACAAUGUCAGACUCUGAUCUAGCCUCCUGGACCAGGAUGCACAACCUGUCUCUCCACCUUUCACAGCUUCUACAUAGUACUUCAGAACUGCUUGGGAGUCUCUCACAGCCAAGUGUGAUAGUAAAGGAACAGAAUGGCAACAGUGAAUCCCUAGAUGAGGCCCAACAGGCCCUUAUGAUGGAUGGUUCUACUCAGACCACUGUGGAUGAGGGGAUCCAGACAGACCUGGCCUUACCUCCUCUGGCCUUCCAGGCGCCAGAGGUCAAGUCAGAGGAAGUCAGUGUGAUCCUUCACGUGAUGGACUCAGGUAUUACCACUGUGGCUCAAGAAAAGGGAGAUGUCCCAGUGGUGUUUCAGAAGAAAGAGGCAGAGGAAGCAGCAGAACCCCCAGAUCUCCACAAAGGAAGUACCCACGUUAAACUGCAGAGCCCUCCUGUGACCUCACCACACUUGAGGUUUCAGAAAGCUGAUUUUGGGCAGAACUUUACUUUCAUGAACCCCCCAGCUUCUCCUGAUGGUUCUCCACUUCCCAGUCUGCAGCCAGAGGAAUCUUGCAUGGUGGUCAACAUGUCCAGAAUCUCACACCACUCAAGGCUCACCCUUGGUGCUUCUGAGUUCACCCAAGAGCCUAGCACCCAGAAUAGAUUGGGCAGCUCGAGUGCUGUGCUGGUGGAUAGGGCGUCCUCUCCAAUCCUUACAUUUAGUGCCAGCAUCCAGGAGCUGAGCAACCCCUUAGCCUGUUUGACUCUAUCAGUUCCCUCGGCUCAUCCUCUUGAAGACUUCCAGAAGCUUGACAUCAAUCCAGACCCUGAAGUUGGUGACCUAAGACCUCCAAUGGGUAAUUCUCAAGCCACUGAUAAGGCUGGCGUGUCUCGGAGAGCUGAGUCUGUGGACAGAGAAGUCAAGAGCCCCUUAGGGAAAAGUUCUGAGAGAUUGUUUCUUUAUUCUAGCUCCCCUUGCAGCCCACAACAGAGCUCUAGUCCCCAAGUUAGUUUCUCAGGAAAGGCCCCUCAGCAGCUUCAGCUCAAGAGCACCACUGGAGACCAAAGCAAAUCACCAUCUUCACCACCAAGGCACAGGAUCCUUGAUGAUAGCGUUGUGUCUGAGAGGGUGGCUUCCACAGAGCAUGGUCCACCAAGCAGUGGGAGGCCCAGUCAGUGCCAGGGCAGGGCAGCAAAUGAGGAUGGGAAGUCAGUGUUUAUGGUAGAGUCACAACCCAACGUGGACCGACCUUCAUCACGGAGAGGUCUUCAGCCCCUUAGCCCUUGUCAGAUCUCUGCUACUACAGGGCUUCAAAGUCCUGCUGUAGAUCCACCUCAGGUCUGCCAACCUGUGGGGCUGCUCUGUCCUGGUUCACAAAUGUAUGUGGCCUCUGGUCCCCAGCAUCACAACCUCAGGGACCUCUCAGUUCAUAACAAAUUUAAUAACUGGUAUGGAGUUCAGGAUGGACCUUGCAAAAGUCUGCAUGUAGGUGACAGUUUAGGGGUCAGAUGUGACUUGAGUUCUGUAGGGACACAAAGGCCCCUGCAACCUUCUGACAAAUACAGCCAGGAACCCGAGUACCUUCGAUUGGAACACAUCCCCUUACAAGCUGGGGUUCAGAAGCCUUCACUCAGUGUGGAACUCACAGAAGCAAAACUACACCAUGGCUUUGGGGAGACAGAUGCUCUGCUGAAGGUGCUGCAGAGUGGGACAGGGGAGGUGUUUGCUCCUGAAGAACCUGCUAUGCUCUCCUGUGAGGAGUUCUACACUAGGCAGAAAAAGACUUUUGAGACCCUCAGGAGAGAAAGGACUGAGCGACUUCAUAACUUUCGUCGGACACGAAGCCUCAGUCCCCAGAAACGACUCCGCUUCCUGCCCAGCAAGGACCUCCCCACCGGGGAACUUGACUUGCCCAGCAGACGCCAAGAGUACCUGCAGCGCCUGAGGAAGCAUGUUGUGGAAACCACUAGAAUCCCAGAACCAGCACCAAGAUUAGCCCGCCCUCCCUCUGACAUUGAGCUCAUGCUUCAAGAGUAUCGUCAGGCCCGUGAAGAGGCCAAGGCAGAGAUUGCACAGGCUCGAGAUCGGCUCAAGGAGCGGAGUGAACAAGAGAAAAAGAGAAUCCGCCAGCAGAUCAUCUCCCAGCUGCUGAAGGAAGAGGAGAAACUACAGAUUCUAGCCAACUCCAGCUCCCUGUACACCAGCUCCAAUGGAAGCAUAUCUUCUGGUGUCACGUCUGAUUACAACAGCAGCCCAGCCUUCUUGGGCCACCUCCAGUCCCUAGAGGUUUUGGAGGAUUCUCAAGUGCCAGAUUCCCAAGACACUUGGAUAGGGGACUGGCGGGGCCGGUCCACAGUGAGGAACAGUUACCUGUAUCUGACUGGGUCUUCCUGGAAGAACUUAGCUCACAGCUGCAGAGCCUCGAUGGGUAGUGGCUGCUGCUCUCCCUCCAGCCUGUCCAGCUUAGGAACCUGCUUCUCCUUCCCCUAUCAAGACUUGGCCAAACACAUUGUUAACACAUCAAUGGCUGAUGUAAUGGCUGCUUGUUCGGAUAAUCUCCACAACCUCUUCAUCCGCCAGGCAUCAGCUGGCUGGAACUAUCAGGGUGAGGAGCAAGAGGUACAGCUUUACUACAAGGAAUUCUCUUCUACUCGACAUGGAUUCUUGGGUGCAGGUGUGGUGUCCCAGCCACUCUCUCAAGUGUGGGCAGCUGUGAGUGAUCCCACUUUGUGGCCUCUGUAUCACAAGCCCAUCCAGACAUCAAGGCUACAUCAGCGAGUGACCAACAGUAUCAGCCUGGUGUACUUGGUGUGCGACACCACACUGUGUGCGCUGAAGCAGCUACGAGAUUUCUGCUGUGUCUGUGUGGAAGCCAAAGAGGGACACCUAUCAAUCAUGGCAACUCAGUCUGUGUAUGAUGCAUCCAUGCCAAGACCUAGCAGAAAAAUGGUCAGAGGAGAGAUCCUUCCCAGUGCUUGGGUCCUGCAGCCUGUUCUCUUGGAGGGGAAAGAAAUAACCAGAGUCAUCUUCCUUGUUCAGGUAGAGCUGGGUGCACCAGGCUUCCCUCCCCAUCUUCUCAACUCCUUUAUCAAACAGCAGCCGUUGGUUGUGGCCAAGCUGGCAUCUUUCCUUCGCCGUUAGUGUUGGGCCAUGGAGACAGCACUGCUGAGGUGUAGGCCCAGGACACCUGAGACUCCAGCUGCUUCUAGACCCAGAGGCAAGAGGAGCCAGCAAAACCAGUACUUAGUACCUGGUUACCUCUAAGAGUGAGCAACCUGAAGCUUCUGGCCGUAGCUGUCCAAAGAGUGAAAUCAGCUCACCUUCAGGAUGUCUCCCCUUUAUUCCUGCCUCGGGGGCUCAAUGGCACCGAGUGUCCAAAACUGGAAAAGGCACAGCCCACAGAGCUGGAGACUGCAGUGCUUUGGCAAGGUGCCUUCUUGGCAGGCAGGCACUGGCCAAGGGUGCUCUGGAUCUGCCUCCAAAAUUCAGUUCCAUUUUGUGAUGGCGUGGUAGAAAGGACCAAACCAUACAGUUUAAAGAAUCAUCUACACAAACCAAAUCCUGAUUCAGAAUUUUUUCUCCUUGAAUGUUUGCAAACAUUUUACUAUUCACAUUGCUCUUCCCCCCACUGUGUGUCACUGUAUAUCACUGGUACAGUCAGUCUACCUUUUAAGCUCAGUACAAUGGGAGACCAGUAACACGACAGCUACAUGCUGCUUGUGAAGAGGGAUUUCAAGCAGAUUGUCGAGAGGAUUAGCAUAGGUCUUGACCUUGUGCUAACUAACACACCUCACGUUCCCAAAUGCUGGGAUCAUGAACCGACCACAGCUAGCACCCACUUCUUUGUAUAUGGUAGGGUGUGGUAGCACAUAGCAACAGCACUUUGUGGUAGUAGGAGCAGGGGGACCAGAAGACCAUCCUCAGAUGGCCAGCCCGUGAUUCAUUAGACCCUAUCUUAAGCUUGGCACUUACAAAGACGGUCAAUAGUUAGAGAAGAGAAAAGGUUUUUUUUUUUUUUUUCCAUUUUCAGAUAAGAAAAUUCUUUUAUUUCUGUCACUCCAAAUCUUUGAUGGAAGAAGCUUCUCUUAUAGAGAUAGGACUGGUUAAAGGGUAAAUUUCUUUCUAUUCUUUUAGAAUAUUUAUAUAUUAUGAAUUGAAUAUUUGAAUUUAUCCAUGGUAAUUUUUGGCAUGGUAAUUUUUGGCAAUACUUGGAAAUGCAGUGUUAUACGCCUACCAAUUUCCCUCCUGCCCUCUUGCUUUUUUUGUAUGUAGCUUCAGUUUUCCAUAGCUUCAGUUUUCCAAGUCCCACACUAAGGACCGCAGCCCACCAUGCCCAGUUUCUUCUACCUCUUUUCAUGUAAGUGCCUUACUGAGACUGUUAACCUGCCCCCAACCUCCCCCCACCAAAAAAAAAAAGGUCAAAAUAUUACUUUUAAAAAUUAAAAAAAAAGGGGGGGGGGGUUGGGGAUUUAACUCAGAGGUAGAGCGCCUGCCUAGCAAGGGCAAGUUCCUGGGUUUGGUCCCCAGCUCAGUGGUUAAGAGCAAUGACUGCUCUUCCAGAGGUCCUGAGUUCAAUUCCCAGCAACCACAUGGUGGCUCACAACCAUCUGUAAUGGGAUCUGAUGCCCUCUUCUGGUGUGUCUGAAGACAGCUACAGUGUACUCCUAUACAUAAAAUAAAUGAGUUUUUUUUAAAUAAAAUAAAUUACAUAUAUAUAUAAAAAGCCAGAUAGUGGUGGGGCACACACCUUUGAUCCAAGCACCCAGGAGGAAGAGGCACGCAGAUCUCUGAGUUUGAGGCCAAUCUGGUCUACAGCAUGAGUUCCUAGAUAGCCAAACAGACAAAUAAAUAGAAUGUAUUGUUGAGGGUCAUGAUGGCAAUAUUUACUCACAGUUCAGGGCAGAGAUUUUCUGUUUACAUGCAUGUGCUAGUAUUAUGAUCUCAGCUACUGUAGGAAUCUAAAUAGGUGAACAGCAUAAGGUGAAAAGCCCCUCAUGAGACUUGAGUCAGCAAUGUGAAGCAUACGGUCAAUCUCUGUAACUCCGUCUUCCACAUCUGUACAUUUAACCAUGAUCAAAAGAUACUCAAGCAAAGUUUCUUGUCAUAAUUAGUUCCAUAUAGUUACACUAAUUAAAUCAUCUCUGGACAACAUAUUAAAGGACAUAAGAGGGGAAAGGAAAACCAAGGAUGUGUACAGAAGGCAGAUGCAGCUCUAACACUAUGCCAUUAUCUAUUAAGAUGGCUGACCACCAUGUAUUCCCAUAUUUGUGGACCUGUACUGAUCCUAUUGUAAAAGAAGAUGAAUCAGGUUCUGAAGAACAUAUGGAUCACCUGAGGCUGGGUCUGCUCCUGUCCAGGCAUGGAGAGCUCAGUAUUUUUACCUGAGGCCACUGGUCCACAGAACAACAGUACAAAUACUACUGACUAUACCCCAGAAGACUGCUUUUGGUAAGAAAGAAGUUCUGAGGUAAUUCUGCCAUUCCAGUUAAUACAGAUAUCACCAAAAAAAGAGUUCUUGGUGCAGAAAGGAGAAUAAAUAGUUUUCUACUUGAUUACCUGCCUGUCUUUACAGUCUGAGCAAGCUGUUGUAAGUGCACCUUAAGACAGGCUUGCUUCAUGGCUGAGUCCUUCAGUUUUCUGGGCCUCAGGCUUUCCUAAACAAGAUAACAAUUGGCCAUUAGCCUGCUGCUCACCUUUCCCAGGACUCAGCAUUCUGAAGCAGGACUGUGGUUAAACUGCAUGAUAAUCCUGAUUUCUAGGCAAGAACAAGAAAAACCAUGAUCAUCCACUGGGCUUGUAGCUCAGUGGAGUACUUGCCUCACAUGUGAGGCGUGAGGUUUGGUAGCCAGCAUUGACAGAACUGAGUAGGUUGUCGUUAACGAUGAGUCAAGGCCCCUGGGCCCAAUCCUAGAUUUGGAAAAGGACUUAGGGGAAGGAAGAAGAGGCAUACACUAGAAUUAAAUAGCACUGGAGUGUAAGUUUAGAGAAACUUAACUUUCCUCAGGUCAAAAACCAUUUUGCCAGCUGAAAAGAUUUUGCAGUUAACUUCAGGAGUCAUUACUGAGCACAUUCUGAUCCUUCCACUAAAGCCUGAGGCUUACUACCAAAACAAACAAACAGAAAAAUAGUUUUACAGGGAUAUAUCACAUUUUCAAAAUACUGUCAUCUUUGGGCACAUGCCUUCAAUCCCAGAACUUGGAAGGUAGAGGCAGGCAGAGCUCUAUGAGUUUAAGGCAAUCCUGGUAUAUAGAGUGAGUUCCAGGACAGCCAGGGUUACAAAGAGAAACCCUGUGUUGAUAAACAAAACAAAACCCCCUUAAAAAUCAGCUGGUUACAGGGGCUGUCAAAAUAGCUGAAGGCUAAGCCCAGUGACCUGAAUUUGAGCCCUGGAUCCACAUGGUAAAAUGAGAACUGACUCCAGCAAGUUGUCCUUCAACUUCCAGAAGUGCGCCAUAGCACUUGAGUGCAGACACUCUGAGUAUAAUAAAAACGUCACCCCAUUUAUAGAAAUGAGGUCUUGCUAACUAUAACCCAGAAGACUGCUUUUGGUCAGAAGUUUUGAGUUAAAUCAGACAUCCCAGUGCCUACAGUACAAAUAUCACCAAAGCUACCUGCCAUGUGGGUCGGCAUAGACAGCAGGGAGCACAUGGAGAGUAGCAGAUUGUGUCUCUCAGACUGACAGAAUGCAGACACCGUGAAGAAGCACACACUGCAAUGCACAAAGCCCACUUCAGAGGGGAGAAUAGCCAUCAAGACCUUGUUAGAAAUUUUAUUUAAAAAAAAAAAAAAAAAAAAAAAACAAACCCAAGCCCCUUAAAUUUUCUAUACCAGGCUUAGUCUGACUAACUCCCUGCAAAGAGGCGAAGGUCCAUAUGAGACCAAGUUCCACUUAGGUGAUUCCUACCUUAUUGGCUGCCAAUAUUUGGGGGUAGGGGUGACAGUCCAGCUUCUGGACUCAAGAAAAUGUUUUGUCAAUGUUCUCAUAAGCAGAAGUUCUUUGCCUAUUAAGAUUUCUCAGAACCACAAAGUUUCAAGAGAUGCUGGGAUAGCAGCAACUUGAGGCUCGAAAUAACAUUGAUCAGCACACGCAUUUCUUUUAGCAUCUGGAUUAGAAAUGCUAGCCCUUUUGCUCCAAGGUUAGAGUCUCUGGGCUUUUCCACUGUGACUCUGAAUCAGGUUCUCCUUCCUCUAGAUCUCAGGUGUUGAGGCCUGCAUCUGGAUGCUUGAAGCAACACACUUCCUUCACUUAGGAGCAGAGCAGCAAGCCCGAUUACACACCUGGACACUCUUGCCCCAGCAGGGCGUGCAGUGGGUUCUUGAGCCUCCUCCUGAGGCUCAGGAGGCAGGUUCUGGUGACUUGCCCAAGAGGGCUGCUUCCCAGCCCUAGCUUUGGGCUAGCACUGUCCCUCGAUUUGGUUGCAUAAGUUCACAAGCUCUCAGCUGGGGUUCUAGCAGAUGGGGCUCAGCUAGGAACAAGCGAAAUAGUGUUGACAAUUCUUCUGAGAAGUCCUAAAGUAAGUAGAAAGGUUAAGAAAAGUAAUUCUGGAUGUUCUGUCCUUUCUAAGGUCAGUCCCACCCGAAUAAUCACUCACAGCCAGUGAAACACUGAUAACCCAGCUAUUUCAUCUAAUGUCUUCUCUGCAGAAAUGGAUAUAAACCUCCAUGGCUGGUAAACUGAGGCAUUAAGUUCCAGCAGGGAAAGUGGACUCUAUUAAGAAGCAGAGGCUUUAACAUUUUCAAGCACAAAGUAUUAAUCUUAUUUUAACAGCACUAUUUUGCUCUAAAUCACAAGAGCAUUUUAAAUAUAAGCCAACAUUUACUUGAGUUUCAAAUCCCCAAUAUUCACUGUGCCAUGCCUAUUUCUAAUUGUCCUCCUUUCCCUCUGUUCUUCUGAGAGUCUUACAAAGUAGUCACUUAGAUCAAACCCAAUACAUGGUCUCGUGGUAGUCCUGGAAACACUUUGGCAAAAAGGCACAUAGCUGUAGCUAUGGUGGGCUCACAGUUAGAAUCUCAUUCCCAGCAAGUAGAAAGAAUGCAAGUUUGUGGUUUGUGGGCUACAAAAGCAAUCUUUAGGACAAAUGAGACAUAUCUUCAAGACAAAGGGAUUAACAUUAAGAUUCCUUACCCCUGGCCACUGGGCUUCAUUAAGGCUGACUAAGCAGGCUUCUAUUUCCAAAUGCCCCAUGAGAUCCUUUUCUACCAGCUCCCGGAGUAAGAACAGUAGCAGGUCCCACUGCAAAACACCACAGAGAAAGUCAAAAGUUGUCAGGAUCAUAUAGUAGUCCUAACAGUAGAGACUGAGGACUGUACAGUAGUCCCAAGAGUAGACAUCUCGAAGGACAGAGCUGGAGAUAACAGAGUUGGAGAUAAUGGCUCAACAUGCUGUUAAAAGCAAUUCAACACUCAGGAGGCAGAGGCAGAGGUGCAGGGGUAGAGGAUCUCAGGUCAGCCAGGUCUACAGAGUAAGUUCCAGCUAUAUAGAGAGAGUUCUGGCUACACAGAGAAAUAAUGUUUUGGGAUGGAGAGAUGGCUCAGAGGUUAAAAAUACUGUCUGCUCUUCCAGAGGUUUUGAGUUCAAUUCCCAGCAACACAUGGUGGCUCACAACCACCUAUAAUCAGAUCUGGCGCCCUCUUCUGGCAUGCAGGCAAGAAAGCUGUAUGAUGUAUACAUGAUAAAUAAAUGUUAAAAAAAAAAAAAAAGAAACAAUGUCUUGAACUCCCCCCUAAUAAUAAAAAAAUAAAAUAAAUGAUUAUAAACUAUUUACAAAUAAACACACACACACAAAAGAAAAGAAAAGAAAAGAAAGCUGCCCCGAGGAGGAAAUUGAGACAAAGGGAAUCUGCUUUUGCAUGGAUGUGGAAGAAAACAAUAAAAACAGCAGUUAUACAAUUUGGGGUGGGCCACUGGAUAAUGUUAAGAACAUGACUUGCAGGGAUGAAGGGAUUGAUUGAUCAGCAGAGUUCCUGAUGUGCAAACAUGCCUGUGUCAUGGGAGUCCAGUAGCAAGGGCCAGCUCUCCCAUGUUCAUACUUACAAGGCUGGCUCGCCCACAACUCCUUACCCCGGAAAGUGUGUAAGACUGCUUUCUGGAGUACUGCAGUGGUUAGGGGCAGGGCCAGCUCUUCCUUGGAUCCAAGUUGUAUGAGUGUCUACCUGUAACCCUACUGCUAGAUAGGAAAAUCCUGGAAGCCAGCUAGUUUAGCCAAUCAGUGAGUUUUAGGUUCAGUAAGAACAGUGCUCACUAGUAAGUACACAUACUACCCCCUAAUAUGACUACAGGAGCUGGGCAUGAUGGCUCAAAUUUGUAAUCUGCACUUGAGAGGCAGAGGCAGGAAGAGUGCUGUGAAUUUAAGGCCAACAUGGACUACAGAGUGAGAUCCUAGCUGAAAAUCCACAUGCAUGGGCCUAAGUGGUGGCUCAAAGCACUUGCUGCUCAGCAAUUCACUUCUCAGUAUUGACAAGGUAGCUCACAGCCACCCUAGUUCUAGUGGAUCUAACAGAUAUAUUAAUGGUGCACACAUGCGGACAAAACAUUUAUAUACAUAAAUCUAACUACCUCCUAACAAAAAUUACUUACCUCUCUUGGCCGAGUAUCAGCCAGAAGCCCUACAUUUCUUGGGCUGAGUAGAAGCUGCAAUGGAACUGGCCCCUGGAAGUCAUCCUUCCACAAGGAAAGCAGCAUAUGCAGAAGCCUUCGAGCGUGUCCUCGAUCCAGCCUGUGCUGUGUUGGGGGCCCUAAGAUGGGGAUCUGGUCUGCAACUAUAGGGAAAAAAGAAAAGGUAGAAGAGCAUGUCCUAUGCUUCUAAACUUGCUUGUAUCCAACCUUGGGGUUUGGAGAAUGUGGCACGAGGGACUUGGUAGAAAAGAGCCAUACCUAGAAGGGACGCCAACUCUACAGAGCACUUGGCCAGAUGCUGCUCAGCAGUCGGGCACAGAAACUGUGGGGUGGAAAAGGAGAAAUAAGCAUCAUUUUUACUGCUCUGAGGAUUGGUCCUGAGCCAGUGUGGGUCAUGCCACAUCUCACCUGGCGGCAUUUCAGUGACUGGCCCAGCUGGUUUAGGAGCUGUUCCAGAUGCUCUGGGGAAACUCCCUCCUCAGGGUCCCGAGGUCCGGCAGCCAGGGAGAGCACAUCCUGUAGAGAGCAGUGAUGAAACUUUAUGCCAGAAUGCCAGAAACUUGGUUUGGGAUGGGAACCAGCCAGUGGAGAGAGGCAGAAGGAAAACAGAGCCCAAGGGAGUGAAGCAACUGGGUCAAGGUGUUCUUAUGGCUGAGGCUCAGGCAGUAACAGCACAGCUAGAGAAGCAAUCAUAUGGGAAAUCCAGAGGGAAGUGGAUGGAGUGCUAAGCCUGUAGACUGUGUGCUGCCAGAGAGCGCAAAAGGUGUCACUCACUUUGAGACAAAACAACCAAUUCCCAGAGGGCAUCUUAAAAUCCUUAGGGAAAAUGUCCUAUCUAGAGUCUGAAUACUUCUCUCUCAAUGCUCCUCUGAGAUCUCAAAAUAGAAUCCUCUGCAUACUGAGAAGCUAGCUUGAUACCUUUCUCUCUCCUUCCUAAAGUCCCCAUCUGUAGACAUUUCUUUCUAGUCUCUCUCUAUUUCUUUAUUAUACUACCUUUAUACUUUCUACUUCUUUAUUUAUACUACUUUUGUUUGGAGCAGGGCCAGAUAGUAUUUUAGCUCUUGGGAGUCACAAGGGCUAAAUACUGUUUCAACUAUUCAUCUCUGCUUUGGUAGCACAGAACCAGCCACAGACGAUUUAUAAACAAAUGGAUUAGUAAACUUUUAUGUAUAUAAACAAACAGCAGUCUCAUUUAGGGUCAUUUAGGCUAUACAAUUAGUCUCUUUCUCUAGACACCAUGUGCUAUGAUAUAGAGUUUACACUAUCUACUUUUAUAAGUUAUCUUAAGAAAGUCUUACUUAAGUUGCCCAGACUGGCUUGUGAUCCUCCUGCCUCAGCCUCCAGAAUAACUGGGAGUCCAGGCCUGCACUCAAUUGAGGCCCAGCUUUUAUUUAUUUCUUAAUCACAUGAGAACUUCUGGUCAGUGCUUAGUGACUAGCAUUAUCUCCCACCAUGUCCAGACACUGACUGCCCCUCAAAGACUUCCCCACUCUGCAGCCCUUUACCGCCAUGUGUGUAGGAUGCAUUUAGUCAAACACUUCAGCUCUGGCCCGUUGUGGUGCUAUAUGCCUUUAGUCCUAGUUCUUGGGAGCCAAAGGCAGGUGGAUGUCUGUGAGUCUGAGGUCAGCUUGGGAUCCAUAGUGAGUUCUAGGCCAACCAGACCUACAUAAUGGGACCCUGUCUCAAACAAGCAAGCAAACAACCCACCCAACCCUUUAGAUAUAAUUUUUUGGAUGAUUCUAGAACAAAGGCCUUAGGAAAACUAAUUCAGCUCUGUUCUAUGUGAUCCCAUUCAGUAAGGAAAGAAACAAACCAGCCAGACAAAACACAAAGCUUCUAUACAAAUCCUGAAGCCAAUGUGAAAAGAAGCAAGCAGCAGGGAGAGGGAAUGGGAAAGCCAAGGGAGUAGGGUAGCUGUGUACUUUUAUCUCGGAGAUGAGGUGGGAGGGGAGGGGAGCAUGGUGCUCACAGGCUCGGGAGCAGCCCCUCCGCUCCACCCGGGCAGUUGGCUCAGGACCCUGGGCUCGUAGCAUGCGACUCACGGCUGCUUUCACCUCCCUUCUAAUCAGCGCUGCCAGGCAGAGGGAAAACAAGAAUGGAGUUACUGGAAUGUUUCCCUGCAUGGGCUUGCCAUGACAACCCACACCUUUCACUGGUUUUAAAUGGCUCAUCUAGUCUCCCACAAACUGUUCAAUACCCUGCCUGUCCAUCUUUAAAAACUUGGUUCAGUCACUCCUUUUCUAGAUAGACCUCACCUGUAAUGUUGGCAGACAACCAAGAGCAGGCUUUCUCUGUUGCAAGCCCCACAGCAAUGUUCUCUGCACUGCUUAGAACCUGUGGCACAGAAGGACUGCUGAGUCAGGGACUUGGGAAGGCAGGUAGUACAACAUUGGAUUCUACAGUUCAGGGCCCACCCUACAACAGCCUCACACAGGUACAUGUGUACACAUAUGUGUACAUGCAUGCCUGCCUACUGGCCUGCUAGCUGCAGGCUUGCUUCCUACGUACAGCAGCUGGGGUCUCCUCUGGUAACAAUGCUCGCAGGGCAGUGGGGCUCUUCUUUUGGCAGAACCUACAAAAAGACAGAAGGGGGGGUCAAUGUCUGGAUAUUGUAGGUGAAUUCCCAAGUGCAGCAGGCCUAUGACCUGGAAACUCUAACUCAGAAAGAAGUGCUGCCCAUUCUCCUACCCCACCACUGAUGCUGGAGGAAGGAGAGACCCGCCCAUUAGUCCUACAUCACACACAUCCAACUCAAUAUCUGGACUCCAUGCCCAAAGACAUAAUCCUACAGAAAAGGAACAGAGCACAAAAGGGGAGAAAGAAACAGAAAUGGAGCAAAUGGGAUGUGAAAGAGGCAAAAAAAAAAAAAAGAGCAGGAAAAAAAAUCAAAAGGAAGCUGUGUGUGCUGGCUCAUGCCUGUGAUCUCAGCACUUGGAAGUUUGAGGUCCGACUACAGAGUGGGACCCAGUCUUAACAAAAAAUGUGCAGAACCAGGAGGAGACUUCAGGAAAUGAGAAGGCUCAGAUGGGUUGACAGUUCUUACUCUCGCCCCUGGGUCAAUGCUUGGGCCCCAUGGGGGCACAGCUGAGAACACAAGAAUUCCAACAGCUGUGCUGGAUCUCCCCCUUCUUGUCCCCGUGUCACCAGCUGCUCCUGAAGAAGUGACUCUGCUUGAUGCACCAAGUCUGCUACCAGUGUCGCCCUGUAGCAGGGAGAGCAAGGUUGGGGCAGUUAGGAAAGUUAAGGAGAAAGAGCUGCAAACGGAAGACAUUUGGUCAGAAUGUCCUUCAAAGGAUAAAAGAAAUUUCAGCCUCCCUCUCCCCCCCCAGGUUGACUGCUCAGUUGGGAAACAGGUUAAAAGUUUUUUUUUUUUUUUUUUGAGCUGAGGACCGAACCCAGGGCCUUGCGCUUGCUGGGCAAUCGCUUUACUACUGAGCUAAAUCCCCAACCCCCAGGUUAAAAGUUUAAAGGUAAAAAAUGAAAGGGGCUGAGAGCAGGAUUCUCACUCCACUCUUACUUGAUGUGUUUGACACAGUUUGAUCCAAUUCUUUCUGCCACAAAUUCUACAGUCCUGCGCAGGGAGGGUGGCUGGUUGUGGAAAAAGGCCUCAGCGAGUUGAGCCUGGCAGAAGUUGGAGGCAGGUAUAGUAGUACCAUGAGGGCUUCCUUCUGCCUCCCUCACCAACUGCCUCCCUGUUUCCCUGUCCUUUGCCCUUACCUGCAACCCCUGGCUGGUCUUGAGAGGCAGGGUUCCCAGGCUAGUGGUUGUAGUGGGAGUGAUUUUCCUCACAAAGCCUCCACUCCGCCCACUGCUUCCAGAAACCCAGGAAGCAAGCAGUUUCCGGAGCUCUCCUGUAGAGGAGUUGAAGUUCUUACUUCCAAAAUUAUUUCCCUGUCCUCCCUCACACAUCAUGACCUUUGUGGAGCAAAGAAGAUGAACUACCCAGAGAGCCUAAAGACAGAACAGUCUGCUGAGGGGUCAGGUCCUUUUGGGUAUCCAUGACAGGCCAGGUCAUGGACCAUAAGGGGAGACAGAGAUGCUUACCAAUGUAAGGGCAACAGGUAUAUAACAGCUGCUGGUCCACAACAGGUACACUGUCCUGGGGGAGAAUAGGCCAAGAUUGGAAGGGGAAGGCAGGUAGUCUCCCUUCCCUCCAAAUGUGCAGAGAUAGAAGUCUUUUCUAGCUUGUCUCCUGCCAGCUCUUUAUCUAUUCAGCUCAUUUAUCUGGUUUGACACUCACCAAUCCAUGCUCUGAAGUAGUUGUGUCCACCUCAAAGGCAUCUACCUGACCAUCUUCUAGAAAGAAUAAGUCCUCAGGAACUGUAGGUAUCUGGUAAGAGAGGAAGGUAGUCAGAACACUAUUGGCAUGCUAAGAUUUGCCAUAGUUUCUAAAUCUAUUGGGGCCCUGGGUCAAGCAAGUUGUCUUCUGAAGCCAUAGCAAUACCCAUCCCUCCUCUGUCCCAAAUCUCCCUCAGACUCUAAAACUCUGUGGUCUGCCAUGGCAGCCAUCUACUACCCUAUCUAGGCCAUCGAUCUGCUACCUGGAAAAGCCAUCCCAGGACAGCAAGCAGCAGCAGCUUAUUCAGGAAGCACAUCUCUCCUUCAUUCUCCUUUGAUAAGACCAAACUCCUAAAAGGUAAAUGGAGGAUGUGAAUAGACUUGUGCCAAGGACAGAAGGCGGUAAACAAAAGCUAUCGCUAGGAAGGGAGUUCUCAAAAGCAGACCUCAGUCACACUACUGUUGGGAAGACCAACAGGAUCUCAGUGAGACUUGUACCUUACAUCCUUCUUGGCUAGGCCAUAUGAUAAAGGAGGAGGACCAUGGGAAUGGAAGACAAUUAUCACAGUUCUGCCUCUCUUGAGGUGAUCAUAGCUGUGGAACCACAUAGAAGCAUAGACUUCUAGGCCCACUUUAUAAAUAGCAAGGGUAUGCAAAUCAGUCAUGUUCUACUCACCGAUGUAAGUGCAGCAGGAGAGUAAAGACACUCCGGUAAUAGUCCAGCAAGGGGACAAUGUGGUCAGCAAAAGAGAGGAAUUCCACCAGCCAGGGCACAGUGAGCACUGCCCGACGGGCCCACAACCCCUGCUGCAACAGAGCCCGUAUAUCCAGAACAGGAGGGACCUGGGAAAGUCAGGAUUCUGUCAAUAAGCAGGCCCUUAAAAGGGGCUGGCUGACACCCUCUAAACUGCCAGGGGACUAGAAUAGUCAAGGAAACCAUUCAGCCUCCACAUUUUUCUGGUCUCCCCAGCACUUCCUUACCUAGAUCUUCCCAUGCUCACCUGGCUCCUGAGGGCCAGAAUAGAGUCCUGAAGCUCACGGGUUGGGGGCGGUUCAUGUCCCCGGUAUGGCAGGAAAGCCACAAAGCCCAGAAAUUUAGCCAAAAGUCUAAGACUAAGAAGCACUACAGCAAAUUGCCUCCGUUCACCCUGCAUGAGGAAUCAAGUGACACAGUACCCUUUGCAUGAGUCUUCUGGAACAAUUUAAAAUCUGUUAAAGUUUUCCCUCAACACCCAUCCUUUCCCCCCUAGAUCAGACCCUAUUAUCCCCCUCGUUCUGUCUUCUAACCUGCCAGUCCACGUCAGAUUCCCCAUCUUCAUCACCAGGCUCGUGCUGAGGCAGGCGAAGGCCAUUGAGCUCCCGAAUCUUUAAACUUAAACUAUCCAUGAGAUGCUGAUUAAAAUGAAAGCUUGAAUGGAAAAAGAGCAAAAGACAAAACAAAAAAGGACUGAAAUAGGUAAAAAAAAAAAAAAAAAAAAAAAAAAUCCAGCAUUUCGAGGAGAUGCCCAGACAAAAAGACUCCUAAGAAAGAUGAAGCUAAAGGACAAUGAAAUUACCUAUGCAGACAAAAGAAUGAGACGAAAGAGGAAAUAAAAGUGGGAGGGGCCAGAAAUCCCUUCCAGACAUGUCCAACGUGAGGCCCAGGCAAAAGACAAUGGUUUACCCUUUGGGGAAACCAAAUCUUUCUUGGACUCUGUUUCUCUCCCUGAGAAACACAGGAGACCCUUACCUGCUGGCACUCAUGAUGAAGUCCCUGAAGAAGCCUUGACAGCCUGGGAAGGUGGGGGGUGGGCAGGGUCCUCCACUGCUCUGAGGGGCUAUAAGCCGUUCUUGGAGCUGCCGCAACCGUCCGAGCUUGUCAGCUCCUAGCAUAUUCAAUACAUCUGGAGCUUCCCCCAAAACAGAUCCCCCAGCACCGCCAGGGCUCUGACACAUCUGAGACGCCCGUGUCCGAAGGGAAGAAAGAUAUGAAAACCUGUAAGAGGUUUUGACUAACAGGAUACUGGGAAAGUAGGCUUGGGUUAUAGCUUAGUGGAGAACACUUGCCCAGCAUGAGCAAGACCCUGGGUCUGAAAGAAAGUAAUGAACAGUACAGAGGCUUUAUCUUCUGAUUUGAAAGGUGAGGAGAUGAAAACCGCAAGGCCCGGCAUGCAUUGUUGGCCUCAGGUCACUAAAACAAGGGUUUGAAGAUACCAUGACUACUAAGCUGUCUUUGUACCCUUGCACAAGUCAAGAAAGGGAUGGUGGUGAGAGGCUAAAUAAGGGCAUGGAGUCCAAGGCAUGUCAGAGAAGUUAGAGAACACUGUCCAUCAAGUUUGAACUAUCUCCCAAAGAGAAGGUAUUCUUUUUAAAUAUGUAGCCAGACAGAACCUAUUAGGUUGUCUACCUGACCCAGAGUAUCAACCUUUAUUUAGCUGCCCCCAUCUUUUGGCUCCCACUGUAGUUAUUACCUGGAGAAGCUGCUUUUGGAAAAGCCGGACAAAGUGGCUGUGGCUGCAGGCUGCAGAAAGUUGACCCAUCAUGGCUCUGAGGAGAAAGAGUAGACACAGUGUGGGAAGUAGACAGGUGAUAUAGUCUGGCUGUUUACCAAAGACAUGAACAAACUCCCUUGCCAGGAAGCCCACACAGGAGAAGGUAAGAAACGUUUCCUUCACUACCAAGGUAACUCCAGGCUGGAUAGACUUAUUAAUCUACUAAGAAAUGCCCUCUCAGAUCUUCAGACAUGCUCAGUGUCGGGGAGAUAAGGACAGGAUACUUGUUUGACAGCCUGUGCAGUUUGAUCUGAGCUUUGUCCUUUCCUAAGCUUUUGCCAUUAUAGAACAAGCGUGGUGCAUUCCUGGGAUUCAGAAACUAGAAAGAUAAAUCCCUUUUGAUCUAGGUAGACUGAGGAGAGAUGGGUGAAAGGAGGGAAACCCUUCCCAACAAACACCCUAAAUAUUCCUGUGUUGCUGCUGUCAGAGCAAGGACUGAACUGAGCAGGGGCAGAACACCAACCUGAUCCUGCUACCCAGCCCCUUCUCAAAAUCCCAGCUGGGUUCCUCGUGGUGGUCUUCCCAUUCUCGAAGUACCUCAUAGAACACAUCUCUGAAAGAUAUGGAAGCUUGAUCAGUUGACUCCCAGUUGCCUACAACCACUUCCCAUAGCACUUUCCCUUGCUUGGAAGGUUUAAGAUAAGUCUGCCCACAGUGCCAGUCUUUAACCCCCAAAGCUCUCUACAAGAUGGUAAUGUUACAGACCCAGCAGCAGCACAUCACAGGCAUCUGUGGACAGGGAAAGCUGACCCUAAGCUUUCAGGGAUUCAGGUCUGUGGACAUGAAACAGAAUGAAGCCAACAGGCUUUAUGAUGACUGCCAGCCAAGGAUCUGAACAGCAGUACCCACCACUUGCAGUGCCUAACUCCUAAUUCUAGGAAAGUAAAUAAUUGUUUAUUCCCUUUUCUUUUCACCUCUGCUUUUUAAAAGUAUGGAAGGCUCGAUCACUGGAGAAGUUGGCACGAUUGUCAGUUUCUGGCUGAAAGGAGACAGCUUGAGCAGAGGGUGGUAUCACAAGGGAGACCUAAAACAUGGCAACAUUAGAAAACAAGACCUGUUGGAUCACGUUUAGAAAACUUUACUCCUUAUUGUCGCCCAGAGUUAGCCCACUUGCCAGCACCAGGAAAAUUGUCUUAAUUUGCAGAACAUCUAGGCUACUAGGUACCUAAGCAAGGGUAACUACCUUGGCAACACUGCCUUCAUAAGCAGCUCGAAGGCGGCCUUGCAGAGCUGGUGAGAAGCACAGCAGCCGCUCAUUCUCGGCCAGCAGCUUUAAGGUCCCUUUAUCCAGGUAGGAGAGAACCCUGCAGGGACAGGUGUGCACAUGACUGAGAUGAGCACGCUGGCUGCAGACACAAAAUCCAUCUGAAGCAUAAGGCACUGUGUAAGCCUAGAUACGUAUGGCAAGGUCAGGGGCUAAGAAUCAAGAUGAUAAAAGUAAAGGGUGAAGACAUGAGACUUCAUGGAGCUGAGAGCAAGAAAGCAGGCUAGGAACAUCAGCUAUGAACUUUAUAAAGGUAAGCUGUCGGGUUGGGGAUUUAGCUCAGUGGUACAGUGCUUGCCUAGGAAGCGCAAGGCCCUGGGUUCGGUCCCCAGCUCCGAAAAAAAGAAAAGAAAAAAAAAAUAAAGGUAAGCUGUCACGUAUUGUUGUUAUUGUAGUACACGGGGCUCUCUAUAUGGCCAGCAAGCACUCCAGUGGUCUAUAUACUUAGGCCUUUUUGUAUUUAUUAUUUGGGAAUACCAUUCAAUAUGUUUCAAAGGCUGGCUUUGAAUUUUCUGCAGCCCGGGCAGGUCUUUAAACUUGCAAUCCUUGCUUAGCACCAGACCCAGUCAUUUAAUUUUUUUAAAGGAUAAACUCAUAGCCUUGAUACAAAAUUAAAUGUUUCAGAUGGGCCAGGAAUGUUAGCGCAUGCUUUUAUUUCCAGAACUUUGGAUAGACAGGCUGGCUAAUCUAUGCAGGUUUGAGCCCAUCUUGUUCUACAUAGGGAGUUCAAGGCCAGCAAGGGCUACAUAGUAUCACCCUGACUAAAAAAAAAAACAACAACAAUCUCCUUCCCCUCAACAAAAGGUGCCAGGUGGAAAGGUCUAGGGCAACUGUAUCUAUUAAGCAAAGUCAUGCAUCCUACAUGGCUAGAAACAGACAGAUAAGACCCAAAUGCCUCAGCUAGAAAAACUCACUGAAAUUGAUGCUCCAAAACCUGCACUGCAAAGAAGACACAAUCAUGGAUGCUCCGAAACAGGGGAGUUUCCAGGGAAUCUAGGCCAAUAACAAACGGUUAGUUAAGAACUAACCCACCUGCAAACAUCAUUUCUUGAAAUUAGACUUGCUUACUGACCUAGGGCACCCUGACUCGAUUCAAGGUCACUGUCCUUGGUGGCCGCCAUUCUCCGGGCAGUAAGGAGCUGAAGGACGAAGAAAAGCUCCAGGAAAAGGUUUGGUACUAGGUUCUCUGGAUAUAACGAGAAAUGCCAUACCAUUGCGCACUACUGACAACCAGGCCAAGGCUCUGUAUGCUUCAUCCCCUCUUACUCUGUAGUUUGCAUGCAUAUCCACCGCUGUCCCUUUGAGCUCACUCACCAGCAAUACAUGAGGAGUAGAUGAGGGCUACCAGCUCGAGGCGCUGUCGAGAAGACACUCUGGCUGGGUCAGCAGGCUCUGCUGUGAGGUUUCCUGUUCUGUUGGGAACGGGAGACCCCGAGUCUGGGGCAGGGCAGGCCGGGGUAGGUGACUGCUGGAGCUGCUUGGAUCUAUGUGAACAAGAGAGAUGUCAUGAUUACUCAGCCUGGCUUUCCAGUGACAUUCACUUUCAGGUUCUGCCAGAGAAGACAUCAAUAGCCCAGAAAGCAAACCCAGAAUCCGGAAGGGAGAAAUCAAGUUCGGGAAAAAUCCCCGCAAGUCCCGCACAAGGAGGAAGCUGAUAUCCCAGGUGGCGGCAAAGCCAUACCGCGCCUUCCUGAGCAUCUCCCGCUCCUCUUGCAGACUUCUGCACCCUGGGGGAAGGCCAAGGCCCCAAGGGCUAGUGUCCAGGGCUGAGGGUUGGGAACUGGGGACACAGCUGAUUGGGGGUGAGGUGAAGCAGGUCUUGGGCUUGGACAGUGACCGCUCUUCGCUCACCGGAGUUGGGUUGAUCCUUCGAGAAGGCUUCGUCCUGCUGAGAGUAGUCAGUUUUUUUUUUUUUUUCAAAUUUCUAUCUUCAAGUAUCAUCCAUAACAGUUGGGGUCCCUUAAAACCCUCCCCCCUUUGUGGUUUCUUCGCCCUCAACCUUCUAACCAUCGCGCAUUCUACUGUGGGGCACCCAGCUCUGCUUUAGCGAUUAUCUUGCAAUAAGGACCGAUCCUCACCCUGCAGAGCCGGGCGGAACGGUGCCUACAGGAGGGAACUCCUCCAAGUUGCUGAGGUUUGGCGGAUCUGAGAGCGACAGUCUGGGGCUGCCAGGGCUGCCUGAGCCCUUAGGCUUCCGGCCUCCGGCCCAAGGCGGGCUCUCGCUGCUGGCCCCCUCCUCGGGGCCCCCGGAUCCCCGACCACCUCGUUCGCGGGACGGUCCCGGACCCCGCCUGCGGCCCGCACGGCGGGCCAGAGGUGCCUCGGCGGAGGUGCUGAGGGGCUCGGUUGCAGGGAAAAGCUGGCUGCGCGCCCCACGGCCACCCCGUGGCGGGGCCCCCUGCCUCGCUGGCAAGGCGGCCGAGGCGCCUGGGGUCUUGGCGGGGGUGGAGGGGCCCUGUGGGAGGACCCGGCUGCUCUGCUCCCUCAGGAAGUUCAGCAGGAACGGCACGAAUUCCUUCCGCAGAGGCCGAAGUGCGCUCAGAGCAGCCACUUCGGAGCUAUCCUGAGGAAGAAGCAGAGGUCGCGGGGCGAGAGGGUCAGCUGACAGCGCGGGCCUCCAGCGGCUCAGGCCGCAGGGUGGGCGGCCCGGCAGCGGCUGGCAGAGAAGCGCCCUUGGCGCGGGCCGACAGCCAGGGCAGGCUGGGAGAAGGGACUGAAGCAGCAUCCCCCGCGGGAAGCACAUUCCAGGCAGGUUUGAGGGCGUGUCCGCACUGUUACCUCCGAACUCGGGGUGCUGCGCGCGAUCCACCGCACGGCGGCUGCGACCGGCACCUCUUCGCGCAGCAGCGACUCUAAAACGGCCGCCAUCCCUGUCCAGGCGCUCUGAGGCUACUGCGCAGGCGCACACGCGCCACAGGCAGCCGGGAGGGGCGGAGCCAGCGGCCGGGGCGACCGUUGGACGACGGGGCGGGUCCUUGUGGGGUGGGGCUCAGGCGGUCCGGGAAGAUCUGUCCAACCAGCUAGGCCUGCAGGGCGCCGAGGCGCCUUUCCCUGACUGCUUGGCCGCUGGAGCAAUGUGAUGAGAUGGAACUGCGGCGAGCUCUGUGGAGACCCGGCUCCGAAAGAGAGGCCAGACAGGAAAAGUAACCAACUCUAAAAGACACCAGCCUAUCAGACCAGACAUCUGCCAUAAACACAGCCUCAGACCACCGACUGUAGAGCUUUUUGAGUCACUCCCUCCUCAACCAAAAUAAAAUGUCAACGGCAGCUAUAAACAAGAGCUCAGUGAGUUUCUCCCCCUUGGACUGUGCUGGACCGAAGCUUCCUAUGCAAAGGCAUCGACUCUUGAUGUGCUUCCUUCCUGCCCUAAUUAUACUUACGUCGUCUUAUAAAUGUGGAAAUCUGGCUAAGAAGCCCAAGCAUUAAACAACACAAGAACCAGGUAAUAAAAACAUUGAAAGAAAA